GACGAACGCUGGCGGCGUGCUUAACACAUGCAAGUCGAACGGAAAGGCCCUGCUUUUGUGGGGUGCUCGAGUGGCGAACGGGUGAGUAACACGUGAGUAACCUGCCCUUGACUUUGGGAUAACUUCAGGAAACUGGGGCUAAUACCGGCUAGGAGCUCCUGCUGCAUGGUGGGGGUUGGAAAGUUUCGGCGGUUGGGGAUGGACUCGCGGGUUAUCAGCUUGUUGGUGGGGUAGUGGCUUACCAAGGCUUUGACGGGUAGCCGGCCUGAGAGGGUGACCGGCCACAUUGGGACUGAGAUACGGACCAGACUCCUACGGGAGGCAGCAGGGGGGAAUAUGGCACAAUGGGCGGAAGCCUGAUGCAGCAACGCCGCGUGCGGGAUGACGGCCUUCGGGUUGUAAACCGCUUUCGCCUGUGACGAAGCGUGAGUGACGGUAAUGGGUAAAGAAGCACCGGCUAACUACGUG
rnacentral:rRNA from 1 species